GUGCACAUUUGAUUGACCUGCCUUCUUGUAUAUGUGAGCAGUGUUAUUUCUUAUGUGCUAUACAAUCGGUUGAAGGUUAAUUAGCAGUAUAACUAAAUAGUCAUGCUGCCAGUCUCCUUCAGACAAAC